GAUGAACGCUGGCGGCGUGCUUAACACAUGCAAGUCGAGCGAAGCAUUUAAGUGGAUUCCUUCGGGAUGAAGGUUUUAUGACUUAGCGGCGGACGGGUGAGUAACGCGUGGGGAACCGUGCCCCAUACCGGGGGAGUAACAGCCGGAACGGCUGCUAAUACCGCAUAAGCGCACAGUGCCGCAUGGCACAGUGUGAAAAACUCCGGUGGUAUGGGAUGGACCCGCGUUGGAUUAGCUAGUUGGCAGGGUAAAGGCCUACCAAGGCGACGAUCCAUAGCCGGCCUGAGAGGGUGGACGGCCACAUUGGGACUGAGACACGGCCCAAACUCCUACGGGAGGCAGCAAUGGGGAAUAUUGCACAAUGGGGGAAACCCUGAUGCAGCGACGCCGCGUGAGCGAAAGAAGUAUUUCGGUAUGUAAAGCUCUAUCAGCAGGGAAGAAAAUGACGGUACCCUGACUAAGAAGCCCCGGCUAACUACGUGCCAGCAGCCGCCGCGGUAAC
rnacentral:rRNA from 1 species